rnacentral:sRNA from 1 species
GGGAAAGGAUGCUAUGGAAAAAGCAGAUAUUCCUCUCUCCCGCAGGCAUUCCUAGAGAAGUACGGAUACCUCAAUGAACAGGUCCCCAAAGCUCCCACCUCCACUCGAUUCAGCGAUGCCAUCAGAGCGUUUCAGUGGGUGUCCCAGCUACCUGUCAGCGGCGUGUUGGACCGUGCCACCCUGCGCCAGAUGACUCGUCCCCGCUGCGGGGUUACAGAUACCAACAGUUAUGCGGCCUGGGCUGAGAGGAUCAGUGACUUGUUUGCUAGACACCGGACCAAAAUGAGGCGUAAGAAACGCUUUGCAAAGCAAGGUGAGCACUGUUAAAAUCCGGCUAGGCCAAGAUUUCCCAAUGUCUUGAAGCCAAUGGCUAGGAAAACAGCUGAGCCUGGGACUGGACUUCGUCAGUAACCUCUCUUCCCUAGGGCACGGGAGGAGUGGGUGAAUAGGCCCUCUUGGCUUGAGGACCAUGAUUGUGAAUACAGACAUUUAAUUCAGAGUGACACCUACAUUGAUGAAUUUUCAUUGUACAAGUGUUUUUCCAGAUCAAACACAAAACCCAUGUAAUUCCUUGAUAAAUUUUCAAUGCAGGGCAGUUAAACUGUUGCUAACAUUUUUCAUUUAUAUUUACUGAAGUUAUUUUCAUCAGAAUUCAUUCUUUUUCAUAAGUUAUUAAACAAAUGUGUGAUCCAUUGA